GCCUCUAUAGCUCAGUGGCAGAGCACUGGUCUUGUAAACCAGGGGUCGAGAGUUCGAUCCUCUCUGGAGGCC
rnacentral:tRNA from 1 species